CGGCCUGCGUUGAGCACAUACCAAACUAUUCUUUUGCCUUUUACUAAAGAAUACCGUGUAUUUGUAGCUUUUAAGGAGAACCCUGAAAUACUUAUAUUUAAAAAAAAUUCAAAAA